GUUUAGUUUUAUUCCAUUCAGUAGUUCUCUAAAAGAAGUCAUUUGUAUGCAUUUCCCAUAGGGUCCUAUGUUAAACUAAGUCCCCGCUGGCGGCCAUCUUGGAUAAUGGAUCGGCUACAAAGUAACAACACUUGGUCAGCACUCCAUAAGGAACAUUCAUGCUAUGUUUGGUUUCAUUCCAUUCAGUGGUUCUCUAAAAGAAGUCAUUUGUAUGCAUUUCCCAUAGGGUCCUAUGUUAAACUAAGUCCCCUGCUGGCGGCCAUCUUGGAUGAUGGAUCGGCUACAAAGUAACAAC
rnacentral:lncRNA from 1 species